GGGAUGGGGGCUAACUGCAGUCGACGGAUCAGAGGGGCUUGCUCUUCUGGUUAGUGGCGAACGGGUGAGUAACACGUGAGUAACCUGCCCUUCACUCUGGGAUAACGUCGGGAAACCGGUGCUAAUACUGGAUAUGACCUACUCGGGCAUCCGAUGUGGGUGGAAAGAUUUAUUGGUGGGGGAUGGACUCGCGGCCUAUCAGCUUGUUGGUGAGGUAAUGGCUUACCAAGGCGACGACGGGUAGCCGGCCU
rnacentral:rRNA from 1 species